GAUGAACGCUAGCUACAGGCUUAACACAUGCAAGUCAAGGGGCAGCAUGAUUGAAGCUUGCUUCAAUCGAUGGCGACCGGCGCACGGGUGAGUAACACGUAUCCAACCUGCCGAUAACUCGGGGAUAGCCUUUCGAAAGAAAGAUUAAUACCCGAUAGUAUAGUAUUUCCGCAUGGUUUCACUAUUAAAGAACUUCGGUUAUCGAUGGGGAUGCGUUCCAUUAGAUAGUUGGCGGGGUAACGGCCCACCAAGUCAACGAUGGAUAGGGGUUCUGAGAGGAAGGUCCCCCACAUUGGAACUGAGACACGGUCCAAACUCCUACGGGAGGCAGCAGUGAGGAAUAUUGGUCAAUGGACGAGAGUCUGAACCAGCCAAGUAGCGUGAAGGAUGACUGCCCUAUGGGUUGUAAACUUCUUUUAUACGGGAAUAAAGUGGAGUAUGCAUACUCCUUUGUAUGUACCGUAUGAAUAAGGAUCGGCUAACUCCGUG
rnacentral:rRNA from 1 species